rfam:Oryza sativa (indica cultivar-group) chromosome 1, whole genome shotgun sequence.
GAAGAUCGCAGUUUUGUUUAUAUAUAUAUAACGUUUGACUGUCCGUUUUAUUUGAAAAUUUUUUAUGAUUAGUAUUUUUAUUGUUAUUAGCUAAUAAAACAUGAACAAUACUUUAUGUGUACUAUUUUUCUUUAUUUUUUUAUAAAUUUUUUAGAUAAGAUGAAUAGUCAAAUGCUAAACACGAAAACCCACAGCUGUAUUUUAA